rnacentral:rRNA from 1 species
UACGUAGGGUGCAAGCGUUGUCCGGAAUUAUUGGGCGUAAAGAGCUCGUAGGCGGUUUGUCGCGUCUGCUGUGAAAACCCGGGGCUCAACCCCGGGCCUGCAGUCGAUACGGGCAGACUAGAGUGUGGUAGGGGAGACUGGAAUUCCUGGUGUAGCGGUGAAAUGCGCAGAUAUCAGGAGGAACACCGAUGGCGAAGGCAGGUCUCUGGGCCACUACUGACGCUGAGAAGCGAAAGCAUGGGGAGCGAACAGG